AUUUGCCAUGUAGAGUUUUAAUGUUUUUUAGUUGAAGAAUUUAAACUUACGUCCCAUCUGCAAAACCUGUUGAUUGAUGAGCACUACCCUGUUAAUUUUCAGAACUUGACAGGAAAUUUUCAUCUGAAGAUGGGGCUGCUAUUCAGAAAUCAUUUGAACUUUAUCAGAAGAUUGAAUAUAUGGCCUCUUCUAUAAACCAGAGAUUGAAAAAUAUCAAUCGACUAGCAGAUACCUCAAAACAAUGUCAUCGCUUAGGCAAAAAGAUCAGUGAAGAAAAGUCAGACCUUGCAAGGCUUAUUUCAUAGUACAAUGGUCUUGCUACCACAGAUUGUAAAGUGGAAAUUGCAGAUGCCCUUGACAACAACUUUCUGUGGGCACUACAUGAUCAGACUGGUGAAAUGCCUCUUCGUGCUAAGAAACAAGUUGUGGAGAAAUAUCUGGAGGGCAGAAGGUUGACAGAGGAGAAGGUCCUUUUGGAAAAAGAGAUGACUGGAUUUUUGAAGUUCUACAAGGACACUGUUAUUCCAGAAAUCUUAUCAACAAUUGAAAGUCUGAAAGCAGUUUUGUCAGAAUGUAAUGAAGAUUGUUCAUUGGACGAGGCAAGUGGGCCAGUUUCCUCCUCUGAAGGUAGCUCGGUAGGUGUGCCUCUGACAUUACCUUUGAUUC